GUAGGGUGCGAGCGUUGUCCGGAUUUAUUGGGCGUAAAGGGCUCGUAGGUGGUUGAUCGCGUCGGAAGUGUAAUCUUGGGGCUUAACCCUGAGCGUGCUUUCGAUACGGGUUGACUUGAGGAAGGUAGGGGAGAAUGGAAUUCCUGGUGGAGCGGUGGAAUGCGCAGAUAUCAGGAGGAACACCAGUGGCGAAGGCGGUUCUCUGGGCCUUUCCUGACGCUGAGGAGCGAAAGCGUGGGGAGCGAACAGGCUUAGAUACCCUGGUAGUCCACGCUGUAAACGGUGGGUACUAGGUGUGGGGUCCAUUCCACGGGUUCCGUGCCGUAGCUAACGCUUUAAGUACCCCGCCUGGGGAGUACGGCCGCAAGGCUA
rnacentral:rRNA from 1 species